rnacentral:sRNA from 1 species
CACAAAAGAACGCAGACUAGGAGCGCCACGUCCUGUGGCAACGUCUGCAUGACCCCCAUCCUGGGGG